rnacentral:rRNA from 1 species
UCCAGACUCCUACGGGAGGCAGCAGUGGGGAAUAUUGCACAAUGGGGGAAACCCUGAUGCAGCAACGCCGCGUGAGUGAGGAAGUAUUUCGGUAUGUAAAGCUCUAUCAGCAGGGAAUAGAAAAGAAGGUACCUGAAAAAGAAGCACCGGCUAAAUACGUGCCAGCAGCCGCGGUAAUACGUAUGGUGCAAGCGUUAUCCGGAUUUACUGGGUGUAAAGGGAGCGCAGGCGGCACGGCAAGCCUGAUGUGAAAGCCCGCGGCCCAACCGCGGGACUGCAUUGGGAACUACCGGGCUGGAGUGCCGGAGAGGUAGGCGGAAUUCCUAGUGUAGCGGUGAAAUGCGUAGAUAUUAGGAGGAACACCAGUGGCGAAGGCGGCCUGCUGGACGAUGACUGACGUUGAGGCUCGAAAGCGUGGGGAGCAAACAGGAUUAGAUACCCGAGUACA